AUGUAUUAUGCUCUUGAAGACGCAAAUGCAGAUGAUCCAGAUCAAAUAGAUCUCAAAACUAUUGGGGCUGAAAUUGCAAAGAAGCUGAAAGGAUCACCUCUAGCAGCCAGCACAGUGGGAGGACAACUACGUGCAAGACAAAAAGAUGUUGAAUUUUGGAGAGAACUUCGAGAUGGGGAUCUUGUGAAUGAGACGACAGGGGCACUGUGGUGGAGUUACCAGCAUCUUGAUGAGCAGGUCAGGCCAUGCUUUGCUUACUGCAGUAUUUUUCCCAGAAGACAUCGGCUCAACCGUGAUGAGUUGGUUAAAUUGUGGGUGGCAGAAGGGUUCAUACAAACUACUGAUGCAGAGAAGGACAUGGAAGCUGUUGGUUGGGAUUACUUUCAUGAGUUACUUUUUUUUUUUAAAAAGGGAGGAUGUUACCAAGGGAGUGAUUGCUAUAUUGUCCAUGAUCUUAUGCAUGAUUUAGCCGAGAAGGUGGCAGGGGGUGAUUGCUUCAGAAUAGAGAAUGGCUUGAGAACAAAAGUUCCUCGUCAUGUUCGCCAUCUUUAUGUUGCGAAUGCAGCAAUGGUUAUCAAGGACAUUUUCGAACUGGAAAACCUACGCACUCUCAUUGUUGAUGAUACGGAGUGGCUUGCAGCAGUUAACAAUAAAUUCUUUGAGAAAGUGUUCAAGAAACUGAAGAAAUUGCGGGUACUAGCUGUAGAAACCGUAUGGAAAGAUAAUUUCGAUCUGAAACUUCGUGAAAGUAUUGGUCAUUUAAAGCAUUUACGCUAUCUUGGUUUAGUGAUCUUCGAAGCAGGGCAUGUUUUUCCAAAAACAUUAGCCAAUCUUUACCAUUUGCAGGUGCUAAAGUUUUGUUAUUCAAGUGAUGUGCAAAUUUCCCCUGGUACAAAUAUGAGUAACCUCACCAACUUGCGGCAUAUUAUUUGCGAAAUGACAAUGCAUGUUCCGAACAUGGGCAGGAUAACAUCAUUACAAACAUUAGAAUGCUUUGAGUAA
rnacentral:rRNA from 1 species